GCCCGGAUGAAGACAGGCCAGGCGCUCCUCUCCCCGGGUGGCACGGUCACCAAGGCAUGGUUCGCUUUGUUGCAGUGGAGAUGUCUUCAAGCCAAUUUGGAAUUGGUUUAAAAACUGUUGAUGUCUUUACACUUGCCCAUCAUGUCCUUGAAAUGAGAGGUCAGAUCAAGCCUCCUUCACCUCAGCAACUUGAUCUUUGUGGAUAAAACGCCCAGUGGUGUGCAGAUGGCCAGGCCCGAGAAGGCUGUGCUAGCCAGUCCUUGGAGAGAAGG